rnacentral:rRNA from 1 species
CCUACGGGGUGCAGCAGUGAGGAAUAUUGGUCAAUGGACGAGAGUCUGAACCAGUCAAGUAGCGUGAAGGAUGACUGCCCUAUGGGUUGUAAACUUCUUUUAUAUGGGAAUAAAAUGUUCCACGUGUGGGAUUUUGUAUGUACCAUAUGAAUAAGGAUCGGCUAACUCCGUGCCAGCAGCCGCGGUAAUACGGAGGAUCCGAGCGUUAUCCGGAUUUAUUGGGUUUAAAGGGAGCGUAGGUGGAUUGUUAAGUCAGUUGUGAAAGUUUGCGGCUCAACCGUAAAAUUGCAGUUGAAACUGGCAGUCUUGAGUACAGUAGAGGUGGGCGGAAUUCGUGGUGUAGCGGUGAAAUGCUUAGAUAUCACGAAGAACUCCGAUUGCGAAGGCAGUUCACUGGACUGCAACUGACACUGAGGCUCGAAAGUGUGGGUAUCAAACAGGAUUAGAUACCCGUGUAGUC